UCCAGACUCCUACGGGAGGCAGCAGUGGGGGAUAUUGCACAAUGGGGGAAACCCUGAUGCAGCGACGCCGCGUGAGUGAAGAAGUAUUUCGGUAUGUAAAGCUCUAUCAGCAGGGAAGAAAAAAGACGGUACCUGACUAAGAAGCCCCGGCUAACUACGUGCCAGCAGCCGCGGUAAUACGUAGGGGGCAAGCGUUAUCCGGAUUUACUGGGUGUAAAGGGAGCGUAGACGGCAAUACAAGUCGGAAGUGAAAUACCCGGGCUCAACCUGGGAACUGCUUUGGAAACUGUAUGGCUGGAGUGCUGGAGAGGUAAGCGGAAUUCCUAGUGUAGCGGUGAAAUGCGUAGAUAUUAGGAGGAACACCAGUGGCGAAGGCGGCUUACUGGACAGUAACUGACGUUGAGGCUCGAAAGCGUGGGGAGCAAACAGGAUUAGAUACCCUAGUA
rnacentral:rRNA from 1 species